rnacentral:rRNA from 1 species
GAUGAACGCUGGCGGCGUGCCUAACACAUGCAAGUCGAGCGUGAACCGUCUGAAUGAAACUUCGGUCGAGUGAGGAUGGGGAAAGCGGCGGACGGGUGAGUAACGCGUAGGCAACCUGCCCCGUACAGAGGGAUAGCCUCGGGAAACCGGGAUUAAGACCUCAUAAUACCAUUAUCUCACAUGUGAUAAUGGUCAAAGAUUUUAUCGGUAUGGGAUGGGCCUGCGUCUGAUUAGCUGGUUGGUGGGGUAACGGCUCACCAAGGCGACGAUCAGUAGCCGACCUGAGAGGGUAAUCGGCCACAUUGGAACUGAGACACGGUCCAAACUCCUACGGGAGGCAGCAGUGGGGAAUAUUGCACAAUGGGCGAAAGCCUGAUGCAGCAACGCCGCGUGAGCGAGGAAGGCCUUUGGGUCGUAAAGCUCUGUCGAGGAGGAAGAUAAUGACGGUACUCCUCGAGGAAGCCCCGGCUAACACGUGCCAGCAGCCGCGGU